GAUGAACGCUGGCGGUAUGCUUAACACAUGCAAGUCGAACGGACUCUUCGGAGUUAGUGGCGGACGGGUGAGUAACGCGUGAGAAUCUGGCUUUGGGUUCGGGACAACCACUGGAAACGGUGGCUAAUACCGGAUGUGCCGAGAGGUAAAAGAGAAAUUGCCUGAAGAUGAGCUGGCGUCUGAUUAGCUAGUUGGUGAGGUAAAGGCUCACCAAGGCAGCGAUCAGUAGCAGGUCUGAGAGGAUGACCAGCCACACUGGGACUGAGACACGGCCCAGACUCCUACGGGAGGCAGGGGUGGAGAAUGUUCCGCAAUGGGCGAAAGCCUGACGGAGCAGUACCGCGUGAGGGAAGAAGGCUCUUGGGUUGUAAACCUCUUUGCUUAGGGAAGAACAAAAUGACGGUACCUAAGGAAUCAGCAUCGGCUAACUCCGUG
rnacentral:rRNA from 1 species